rnacentral:rRNA from 1 species
UACGUAGGGUGCAAGCGUUAAUCGGAAUUACUGGGCGUAAAGCGUGCGCAGGCGGUUAUAUAAGACAGAUGUGAAAUCCCCGGGCUCAACCUGGGAACUGCAUGUGUGACUGUAGAGCUAGAGUACGGCAGAGGGGGAUGGAAUUCCGGGUGUAGCAGUGAAAUGCGUAGAUAUGCGGAGGAACACCGAUGGCGAAGGCAAGCCCCUGGGCCUGUACUGACGCUCAUGCACGAAAGCGUGGGGAGCAAACAGG